GUAAACUUUUAAAAUCUCUUAUUUCUCGUUUUUCUUUCUUCUGUGUGUACCGCAGGGGCUCGAGACAUGCGAUUUACCAUUGCGAGUGCAGACCCAGGAGCCCAGGCACAGGACGGAUCACUCACCAAAGGAGAAAAUCAGUGGGGAACAACAAUUACACAACAGGCGGGGCGAACGAGCAACCUCAGAUCCCAAGUCACCAAGCAAAACACUGAAGACGGUGUGGACGUGGUACCUUCAUAGCCCUACCCUUCAGGAAAAGAGAGCUCAAAAUACCCUUUCUUGACACCAUAGAAUACACCGCAUUGACCUUUUGUGUGACUGCGUUGGCUCAGCCUUCUCUAAUAGAUCACGUCGGCUAAAGUGUUUUCAUCCUUUCUUGGCUCCUGAGGAAGAAGUGAUUGCAAUAUAAAACGAGUCAUUGUUGGCGGGUUUUUUGCUUUUGUUUUUGUAAUGGGGAUUGGACUGAGGCAUGAAAUCACGACCAAGGGUGCCCAGUGAUCAACCUGGACAGUGAGCAGUGCAGCAGGAGCUCUUCAUGGGAGGUGGCUCGCCAACAUGGACCAUGGGACGUGCUGGCAUUUCUCACAGUGACCAAUCUAAGCGGCCACGUGCUGCUCAUUCAUGGCCAACAGACCCACUGUUUCCUGUGAAAAGGAUGAACCAA